UACGGAGGGUGCAAGCGUUGUUCGGAAUUACUGGGCGUAAAGCGCGUGUAGGUGGCUUGGCAAGUCGGUUGUGAAAGCCCUGGGCUUAACCCGGGAAAUGCGACCGAAACUACCUCGCUAGAGUCUCGGAGAGGAAGGCAGAAUUCCCAGUGUAGGGGUGAAAUCCGUAGAUACUGGGAGGAAUACCGGUAGCGAAGGCGGCCUUCUGGACGAUGACUGACACUCAGACGCGAAAGCGUGGGGAGCAAACAGG
rnacentral:rRNA from 1 species